GUGGGGAAUCUUGCGCAAUGGGCGAAAGCCUGACGCAGCGACGCCGCGUGUGCGAUGAAGGUCUUCGGAUCGUAAAGCACUGUCGCGGGGGACGAAAACCGACGGUACCCCGAGAGGAAGCACCGGCUAACUCUGUGCCAGCAGCCGCGGUAAUACAGAGGGUGCGAGCGUUGUUCGGAAUUAUUGGGCGUAAAGCGCUUGUAGGCGGCGUGUCAAGUCGCGUGUGAAAUCCCGAGGCUCAACCUCGGAAGUGCGCGCGAAACUGGCAUGCUCGAGUCCCGGAGAGGGUCGCGGAAUUCCCGGUGUAGAGGUGAAAUUCGUAGAUAUCGGGAGGAACACCAGAGGCGAAGGCGGCGACCUGGAAGGCGACUGACGCUGAGAAGCGAAAGCGUGGGGAGCAAACAGGAUUAGAUACCCGAGUAGUCC
rnacentral:rRNA from 1 species